GUUAAACUGCAAUAUACUAUAAUCUUUUUAGUUCAUGUUUACAUUUUUACUGAUAAAUUAUGAAUAUAAAAUUUCAAAUUAAUUUAAAUUCAAAAAUAAAAGAACACCAACAUAGAUUUCUUAAACAUUAAAAUUUUACUAUAAGUUUAAAUUACAUGUAAUCAGCACAUUAGUUGAAGUUUUAUAGGAACCGAACAUUUGGCUGGAUCAUGGACUACCCACCGACGGAGAAUUUGUCAUGGAGCUGAAGGAAAAUUUGUCGGCACUCGGCUUCGUUUCAACCCAGAGGAAGAUUGGCAGCAUCAAUAAAAAGCACAUCUUAAUAUCAAAUGUCCAAAGGAUUUGUUUUGAAGAAGAAUUUGUCAUUGAGCUGAUGGAAAAUGUGUCAGCACUCAGCUGUAUUUCAACACGGAGGACGUCUAGCAGCAGCAAAAAGAAAUUCAACUGUUAAUCAACUGUCCAAAGGAUUUUGAAGAAGAAUUUGUCACAAAGCUGAUGGGAAAUGUGUCGGCACUCGGCUUCGUUUCAACCCGGAGGAAGAUUGGCAGCAUCAAAAAGAAGCUCAUCUUAAUUUAGUUGUCCCCCCUUUACGCAUUAGCGCUCAUCUCUCAUCCACUCAUCCAACACAUUGACUAUCGCCGGCCGGCAACACACAUAUAAUACUACACAUUACCCGUUUUAUAUUAUAUAGUAUUAUUAAUAUCCACAUAGUUUAAGUUAUUGUAUAUUUUUUUUUUAUUAUUUGAAUACAUUCAUAUGAUCAGUAGCGUAUUUAGGAAUUUUAUGAUAAGGGCAACACAUAUUUUGCCGCCUCCCCCCCAUUAAAAAAAAAUUAAAAAACUUCUACGCCGCGCAAUGGUGAAACUGUUAAUACCAUAGAAUACCAUGUUAUAUAAAUACUAUAGUAUUUUAUACCUCUAUGGCACACAUUUGUUGUGAAAAAUAUUAAUGAUUGACGUAAUGACGUCACUGCGCCAGUACUCAUAAAGUACGAAAUAAAAAUUUGCCGUUCUGGACAACUGGACCCAAUGCCCCUACCUAAAUACGCCCCUGCAUAUAAUGCGUUC